CUAAGCCAUGCGAGUCGAGAGGGGUAAGCCCUCGGCAUAAUGCUCAGUAACACGUGGAUAACCUGCCCUCAGGUGGGGGAUAACCUCGGGAAACUGAGGCUAACACCCCAUAGUCCUAGGACGCUGGAAUGCCCCUAGGAUGAAAACUCAGGUGCCUGAGGAUGGGUCUGCGGCCUAUCAGGUAGUAGUGGGGGUAACGGCCCCACUAGCCGACGACGGGUACGGGCCUUGAGAGAGGUUGCCCGGAGAUGGACUCUGAGACACGAGUCCAGGCCCUACGGGGCGCAGCAGGCGCGAAAACUACGCAAUGCACGCAAGUGCGACGUGGGAACUCCAAGUGCUUGGACGUUUCGGCGUUCAAGCUUUUCUUAUGCCUAAAAAGCAUGAGGAAUAAGGGCUGGGUAAGACCGGUGCCAGCCGCCGCGGUAAUACCGGCGGCUCAAGUGGCGAUCGUUGUUAUUGGGUCUAAAGCGUCCGUAGCCGGCCAGGUAAAUCCUUAGAUAAAUCGAACAGCUUAACUGUUCGGCCUCUUGGGAGACUGCUUGGCUUGAGACCGGGAGAGGUUAGAGGUACUUCUGGGGUAGGGGUGAAAUCCUGUAAUCCUGGAGGGACCACCAGUGGCGAAGGCGUCUAACUUGAACGGGUUUGACGGUGAGGGACGAAGGCCAGGGGCGCAAACCGGAUUAGAUACCCGGGUAGUCCUGGCUGUAAACGCUGCGGGCUUGGUGUUGGGGGUCCCGUGUGGGCACCCAGUGCCGAAGAGAAGUUGUUAAGCUCGCCACCAGGGGAGUACGGUCGCAAGACUGAAACUUAAAGGAAUUGGCGGGGGAGCACCGCAACGGGAGGAGCGUGCGGUUUAAUUGGAUUCAACGCCGGACAACUCACCAGGGGCGACCGCCGGAUGAGGCUCAGCCUGACGAGCUUGGCCGAUAGKUGGAGAGGUGGUGCAUGGCCA
rnacentral:rRNA from 1 species